CACGUAGGGUGCGAGCGUUGUCCGGAAUUAUUGGGCGUAAAGAGCUCGUAGGCGGCCUGUUGCGUCCGCUGUGAAAGCCCGGGGCUUAACCCCGGGUCGGCAGUGGAUACGGGCAGGCUAGAGGUAGGUAGGGGAGAAUGGAAUUCCUGGUGUAGCGGUGAAAUGCGCAGAUAUCAGGAGGAACACCGAUGGCGAAGGCAGGUCUCUGGGCCAUAACUGACGCUGAGAAGCGAAAGCAUGGGGAGCGAACAGG
rnacentral:rRNA from 1 species